UAGGAGCCAAAUCCUGAAGAAGCAGGCAAGCGUUAAGGUUUGAUUUAAAUAUUUCCUUUGAAUUUGUAUCAGGUGCAGGUGUCAAGGAGGGCUCUCUGUGAGGACUGGCUGGAGCUGCUCCAUGCCCAACACAGCUGGUUCCAGACAACUCCAGCUGAGCCACUGUGGCAGCCACAUGUAGGAGAAGGGGCUGAAAUUGCCAAAUGAGAACAAAAAGGGUCAGAAACAGAGGAGGCAAGGUCAGAGGAACAGCAGGAGGAGGAAGAAGGGGAGGAGAAGGUUCUAUCUGGCUCCAGACAAGGCACCCACUUCAGCCCAUGCAGAUGGCCAUUCCCAAGGGAUCUGCUACCCUGGAGAGCAGGGAAAAGAUGUGAGAAGGAUAAAACCUCAAAGAGAAACAUUGGUUUUGGACUGUGACCCCCUGGCCUGCUUGCACUUCUCAGGUGAUGGAGUCUGGGGAGAAUAUGUGAAGCUGACCCUGGGAAAAGGAAGGUGGAGAAAUGAAUUGUUGAAGAGCAAUACAGGAAGACAGCCAGGUGGUAUCCAAAGAAACUUCAGCUCAGAUUCAAACAAUCCAGGUGCUGGAAACAUGGUAGGUGUUGCAAGGUGUUAAACAUCCUCUGCAUUAAAAGCAACAGAUUGGGAAGGAUCUUCAAAACUGCAAGGAAGAGACCACCACUAGAAGAGUAGAGGUUUGAAGGACUGAUAAUUCCAGAAAUGUGUCUAUGGUUUCCUUUGCUGGAAGAAGCAAUUUCUAUUUGAAGGAUAUCACAAACUUAUGUACCAUUCACUCAAAGCAGUACAGGAGGUACCAAAAUGGGUGACAAAAUACCUGACAAGGAAGGCAAUUAUCAGAAUACAAUCAACUCUGACAACCUCCAGUGUUGCACUUUCAUAGUGCUUUUGAUCCCACAAAUAUCACAUGUGCUUCAUGAAGGACCCAGCAGAAAGGGCGUGACUUGAAAUCCACCAUGGGCUUGAGGCCAAAAUGAUGGAAAGUUGUGUAAGCAGUGGCUGGACAGUCAACACUUUGACUGGGAUCUUCUGGUCAAGAAUAGUCUAAUGAACAAUCUCAUUAACACUGCUGUUAAUUAAGAAAGCUAAAUUCAUCAGGUUUAUAGUAUUUCAGGGUUUUUAUUCCAAUAUCUUCUUCAUAUAGAAAACGUGAAUAGAUUUUGGGAGAAACAUACUGCAACUGUAUUUGUGCAAAAGGACUUCAUAGAGACUAAAUGGAUUCCUUUGGGUUGAGACUUCAAAGUAGGUCCUGAAAGAAACGUAGACCAACUGAGUCUAAAUAUAGAAUUGUAGCUCUGACCUUUAGAUGUGAAUUUCUAUGCUUUUAUUUUAGACUUCACAUCCUUGCAAGGGUAGAGCAGGUUGGAUAUGUUUUAGGGGUCAAAAAUAAGCAAAAAGUUGGUAUAUGGCAAUCAAAAAGAGAAGCCAAUCAACCCAAAACAAAGUUAAAAAUAAAUAAUGGUGACCAGGAAACAUUUAGGAUUAUAACCAAGGGAUAUGUGUGCAUGAGGUGGUCAGGGAACUGUAGAUAGCCCAGGAUAAUAGGUUUAUGUCUUGCCAGCAAGUUGUUUUCAGGUUAUAUGAAAUUCCCAUAUGAUUCUGAUGGAAGUAUUGCUCCACCUGAUUCACAGGAUGAAUCUGAUCUCCUGGAUGAGAUAAAGGUAAAACUAUACUCUGUGGGAAUGAAUAAAAAACUGAUAAUCAUUGUUCACUGUGAUUUUUUACUAUGCCAGUGUUUUUCUCUUAAGCAGGAGAAGCUAAAAUUAGGGUUAUUCAUACUGAGGUCAUAUACCUCUCCUUUGAAUCCAUCUUUGUUACAGGCCUUAUAAAAAUAACAAAUCAUGGACAAAAAAUCUCCAAAUUUUGUGUGAAAUAGAAUAGUUGCAAUCACUUAGUUUUUUUAAAAGAGCUUUUACUAUAAUUUACAUAGGAGCUCUACAUAUGGCUCUAUGUGAGGAAGUGCACAUGAAGCUGACCAGGGAGGAGAUGUAAAGAUUAGUUUAUUUGAAUUAUGGAACUGGAGGAAAAAGCUUCUACUGCUCUCAUCCUCACAGAUACCUCUUCUCACACUAUUUUAAAAGGUAAUUAGAAGAACUGUUUCCAGGAAGUCAAAUAAAAAUCUACUAGAGUUUCAUCCAGUGUGGAGACUUCACGAGCACAAUUAAUAAAACCCAAACUAGUAGUUUUAAACAUAUCAGGUGAUUACUUGUUUUAGUAGAAGUCUUACAGAAUUCACAGAGGGUGCAGAUUUGCUGUAAUGCUGCUUUUUCUUUCAGGUGAAGGAAUUUCAGACUAAUCCCUUAAUAUAGAAACUCUCCAGAAAUUGCUUUAUAUUAGUUAUGUUCCCCUUGUCUGUUAAGUGCAAACAAAUACCCAGAUCUGUUAUUCUCCUGUGAUUUCAGUUGUGUUCUUUGAAAUAACAUGCCAAUGCUGUGAGUGACAUAUCCAUCCUCUGGUAAUUUGUCAUUGAUAGAUUAUUCUUUAAUUAAAGUUUCAAGAUGGAUUUUCUCAUACUCAGCAACAGCAGCUUUACAGUUUUAUCUGGAGGCAUAAGGCAACAGUGCAGAUCUAUAGAUGUCAUUUAACAUAAAGAUAUUGAAAUACAUAUUUUUAUAUACUGCAGUCACAUAAAUAUUGGUAAUACCUUCAUUUUUUUUAAAUAGACAGUAAUUUUAAGCCCAAAAUUUAAACACUUUCCUAGACUAAAAAUACUGAUGCAAAUCAAUAUAUGUUUCAGUAGGCUGGUGUUGGUGCAUGUCUGUUCAACAUACUGCUAUCUGAUCCCAUGACUUGUAACGUUAAUAACAAAAUCAAUCAAGUGCCACAAAAGUGAAUUGAAAGACUCCUAUGGCCAAAUUUGAAAAUAGAAUUAAGAACCACAAAACUGAUUAGCACUGCAUAACCUUGAGACCACUUGAACACCACAAAGGCUGUAAUUUUUUAUUUAGAGAGAGGCUCAUCAAAAUAUUUUUAGACUAUGACAGGGUCAAGCUCAUCACAAAAUAAGGUGGAAGACACACUUGUUUAAAAGAUGGAUGCAGUAAGAGGUAUAAGGCCAUGGUUUGCAGCUCUAUAAUAUAAAAUAAUUUUAAUUCAUCUCUCUCAAAACAAACAAGCUUCCAAACAAAUAAAUAAAGAAUAGUAAAACAAAGGGAGUGAUAUUUUUCAAAAUAAGGGGCUAGGUAACCUAAGAAGCAUGUUGACUUUUUUGAGCUCUGCAUUUUCCCAGCCAUCCCAGCCAAGCACUUCUUAACAAAGGAACAUUUUUCCAGUGAAUUCAUUUCUAAGUAGCAGCUAGUUUUCUUUCUGGAUUUUUUUUUUCCUUGCCUGUCGCAAGGUGAUGAGUUGGGAGUGAAAGAACUGGCAGUUUUCUCUUCACAGACAGGUGUGAUUUAGGGGUAUUAUUUCUAUUUUCAGUAUACUGUGAAUCACAGAGAUUUGGAGUGCAAGGUUUGCACAAAAUGUAAUGAGUCAAAGCCUUAAUAAAUAUUUACAUCUCUAGUGUAAAACUAAAUAAACUAUAGGUCCAGAGUACUGUAACCUUUCAUUAAAAAAAUGUGAACUAGCCCCCACAGGACAUGUCAGCUUCUCAUACAUCACAUGAAAUUCAACACAAACAUUCAGGAGCAGCAGUAUGCUUUGCAGCAUUUAUUAAACUCACUCCUUUAUCCUCCCUCCUUACAAUUCUUCUAAUAAUGUAUUAUAUGGCAAAUGAUUAUUGGGCUUGUGUUGGCUUUUUUAAUGAAAAAGCCACAAAAUAUGUGCCAUGGAGAAAUGAGAAAAUUACAUAGUUGUUGGGAGAGAGUAUGGAACCUAUAAUGCAACACAACAUAAUUGGUGUGCAAGUUCCCUUCCUUACUGAUUUCUGUCAAAAUCCUGAUUCAUAUCUUGCUACUUUCCAGCCUCCUUUGGCAAUUUUAUUGUGCUUACAAGGUGUACCAUUUGUCAAAGGUUAAUAAAUAAAUGGUGAUUAAUAAAUAAGUGUAGCAUGCUUGUCGUUAUCAAUAAGUAAUUAUUUAACACUUAAUAAUGAACUAUUUAUUAAAACAUAUGUUAA